GACGAACGCUGGCGGCGUGCUUAACACAUGCAAGUCGAACGGAAAGGCCCUGCGUUUGUGGGGUGCUCGAGUGGCGAACGGGGGAGUAACACGUGAGGAACCUGUCCUUGACUUUGGGAUAACUUUAGGAAACUGGGGCGAAUAUCGGAUAGGAGCUCCUGCUGCAUGGUGGGGGUUGGAAAGUGUCGGCGGUUGGGGAUGGACUCGCUGCUUAUCAGCUUGUUGGGGGGGUAGUGGCGUACCAAGGCUUUGACGGGUAGCCGGCCUGGGAGGGUGACCAGCCUCCUUGGGCCUGCGGUAGGGACCAGUCUGCUACGGGCGGCAGCAGUGGGAAGUAUUGCACAAUGGGCGGAAGUCUGAUGCAGAAACGCCGCGUGCGGGAUACCGGCCUUCGGGUUGUAAACCGAUUUCGCCGGUGCCGAAGCGUGAGUGACGGUAAUGGGUAAAGAAGCCACGGCUAACUACGUG
rnacentral:rRNA from 1 species